GUCGUUGUAGUAUAGUGGUGAGUAUCCCCGCCUGUCACACAGGAGAUUCGGGUUCGAUCCCCUGCAACGGCG
rnacentral:tRNA from 1 species